rnacentral:lncRNA from 1 species
CAUGGCGGAGACAUUCUCAACAAAAAUUCUCUCCACUAACAGCUUCUGCCUCGCACAAAUGAUAUCCAUCCAAGCAGUACGGAGCUUCGCUCUAAAAGGGAUGGCUCAAAAAGAUAUGAGCCUCUUGCAGUCAAUAGCCAGGCAUUUGAGCUCCGGAUAACAUAGCCCACACCACUUUUGCCAUCCCUAAUACUACCAUCAAAAUCAAUCCUGACAAAUCUCAUGGGAGGGGGCUUUCAGAAAAUUAAAAAAAAAUCCUUUGGAUCACUGCUAGUGUCGCAAGGGAGUCUCGGGAACUC